rnacentral:rRNA from 1 species
AUGGCGGCGUCGGAGGCGGACGCGAGGCCGGUGCUGGUGCCGGGCGGCAACAAGGCCCCGGCGGCUGAGCGGAAACCUUCUCCCAAGCCGUUGCGGAAGGCGCCGGAGAAGCCUCCAGCCGCUGACCCGGCCAAAGAGGAUGAGGUGCAGGGCGCGAAGAAGGACGCGGGGGCCGCCACUGCUGUUGGCGACGGCGGCGCUAGGAAGGGGAACUCGUCCCCAUUGCCGCCACCGAGGAAGCUGCAAGAUGCGCCGGCGGUGAACCUCAACGCGUCCUGCUCCUCGGAGGCCUCCGCGGAGUCGCUCCGCGGCCGGGCCCCAGGCGGAAGGACGGAGAGGGGUUGGUCCCGGCCGACCGCGCCCAAGCGUGGGAAGGCUGCGUCUAAGGUGGUGGAGAAGCACGCCGAUGUCGCGGAGGUUGCCGCUCCGGUGACGCCGGAGGCCGUCCGAGGGAGGAGCCGGUGCGCCUGGGUGACUCCGACCACCGGGCACGCCUCCGAGCUAGCCGAUGCAUACUAUAUCCAGUGUUCUGCUGCAUCCGGUGCCACCUCAAAGAACACCUUCUUCUAG